rnacentral:rRNA from 1 species
UUCGCAAUGCCCGAAAGGGUGACGAAGCGACGCCGCGUGAGCGAAGAAGGCCUUAGGGUUGUAAAGCUCUGUCGAGGGUUAUGAAAUUUAGAUGGGUUAAUACCUCAUUUAUUUGACAAAGGCCCAGAAGGAAGUCACGGCUAACUCUGUGCCAGCAGCCGCGGUAAUACAGAGGUGGCAAGCGUUGUUCGGUAUUAUUGGGCGUAAAGAGCACGUAGGUGGUUUUGUAAGUCAGGUGUGAAAGCCUUCUGUUUAAAGGAAGAACGGCAUCUGAAACUGCAGAUCUUGAGUGUAGGAGGGGAGAGUGGAACUUCUGGUGGAGCGGUGAAAUGCGUAGAUAUCAGAAGGAACGUCGGCGGCGAAAGCGACUCUCUGGCCUAUUACUGACACUGAGUGUGCGAAAGUUAGGGGAGCAAACGGGAUUAGAUACCCCGGUAGUCCUAACUGUAAACGAUGGGCACUAAGUAGAGGGGUUUU